GCCUGACCUCGGAUCGGACAAGAUCACCCGCUGAAUUUAAGCAUAUCAUUAAGUGGAGGAAAAGAAACUAACGAGGAUUCUCCCGGUAGCGGUGAGCAAAAGGGGAAGAGCCAAUGCCGAAUCCCGCGGUCCAUGCUACGGCCUCCGGGAACUGUGGCAUAAGGGAAGGACACCUUCUGGUCCAUCCACAGAGGCCCGAGUCUCUGCGAACGGAGCACACACCCUGGGCGGGUGUGAGGCCCCUAGUGGUCAAACUACACCGGCCAGUCGGAACCUCCUGAGAGUAGGGUUGCCGAAGUGGGUGGUAAACUCCAUCUAAGGCUAAAUACUCAUGGCAUGACCGAUAGUGAACAAGUACCAUGAGGGAAAGUUGAAAAGAACUUUGAAGAGAGUUCAACAGUACAUGAAACCUCUCGGAGGUAAACGGGUGGAACCUCGAAGCCCAAACCGAAGGGCAAAUUUCCUCUGGGGAGGAUGCCAUGACCGGUGGACAGGCGGUCAGAAGGUCAGUGCGAUGCAGAGGCAUGGCCUGGUGGCUUCGCGCCAUCAGCAAGUCAUGGUUACCCGUCCGUCGUUACCUGGUAAUCCGCCUGGCCACCGAGGACGACCCACGCCCAUGAGCGCAGGUUCUGACACAGCCGGCCUCAUCCAUUCAGGUGGACGGGAUGAAGGGCCUCACCACCUUGUGCUAUCUGCUCCCGUCAAUCCAGCUGAUGAUCUCGGCAUGGGAGUUUCACAGAUGGUGCGGUCUCCAUAGCAGCAGGGUAGGUAGCCACCUUCAUGGCCAGGUGUCGGUCAGUGGCGAGUAGGUCAGUCAUCCGCCCAUCCCAUCUUGAAUCACAGACCAAGGAGUUUAACAUGUGCUCGAGUCAUAGGGUUUCCCUCAAAGCCCGAAGGCGCAAUGAAAGUGAACCUUAGGCAGGAUCCCCGUAGGGCCAUUUUUUUUCGGCAGCUGACGGGGCACACCGCCGGCCUGUCUCAUUUGGUUGGCCUUGUCGUUUCACCACGGCAGGGUUGGUGGAGGCGGAGCGAGAGCGUACACGUUAGGACCCGAAAGACGGUGAACUAUUCCCGGACAGGACGAAGCCGGUGGAACCUCCGGUGGAGGUCUGUAGCGAUUCUGAUGUGCAAAUUGAUCAUCGGAUCCGAGUAUAGGGGCGAAAGACUAAUNGAACCGUCUAGUAGCUGGUUCCCUCCAAGUUUCCCUCUGGAUAGCUGGAGCUUGGAGUUUUAACACAUCCGGUGUCAUCUGGUAAAGCGAAUGAUUACAGGCCUCGGGGGCGAAACAGCCUCGACCUAUUCUCAAACUUUGAAUGGGUGAGAUGUCCGACGCUUUCCUAACUGAAGCUCGGCUACUCGCACGAGAGCUCCAAGUGGGCCGCUUUUGGUAAGCAGAACUGGCGCUGUGGGAUGAACUGAAUGCCGGGUUAAGGCGCCCGAUGUGUGGGCACUCAUCAGAUCCCAUAAAAGGCAUCGGUCGCUAUAGACAGCAGGACGGUGGCCAUGGAAGUCGGAAUCCGCUAAGGAGUGUGUAACAACUCACCUGCCAAAGCGACUGGACCUGAAAAUGAAUGGCGCUGGAGCAUCGAGCCUAUCCCCGGCCACCUCGGCAAAGAGAAAGGUACCAGGCCGAGAUGAGUAGGAGGGCUAUGGCGGUGAGCUCAGAACAGCAAGGUGUGAGCCCAUCCAGAGCCGUCGCAGAUCUUGGUGGUAGUAGCAAAUACUCGAGCAAGACCCUCGAGGGCCGAAGUGGAGAAGGGUUCCAUGUGAAUAGCGGUUGAACAUGGCUCAGUGGAUCCUAAGACCAAUCCGGCAGGAGGUCUAUUUUUAUCGGCGGCUUUACUAUUUAUAGAUGACUGGGCACCCGAAAGUCGAAAGGGAAUCGGGUUAAUAUUCCUGGACCCGGACAUGGAAGUCGGCCAUCUGCCGCGAGGAGAGAGAGUGGGGCAGAAACUUUCCUCCCAUCAGUGGUGGCAUAGCCAGUAACCUUUCAGGUCUAUGUGUGUUCAAUUUGGUAGCAGUAAAUUUUUCAGUUACGCUACCUCCCCCCCCCUGUUACCGAAACUUGGUGUGUUUUCAUUGCCGGGAUUCUUGACACCUUUCGCCCUGCCACCGACCACAACCUGUCUUGGUCGGGGAUCGGCAGGAGCGAAAAGGCCCAUUGAAAUCAAUUAAAAGAUGGUGAUGUGUAGCGGGGG
rnacentral:rRNA from 1 species